rnacentral:rRNA from 1 species
CCUACGGGAGGCAGCAGUGGGGAAUCUUGCGCAAUGGGCGAAAGCCUGACGCAGCAACGCCGCGUGCGGGAAGAAGGCUUUCGGGCUGUAAACCGCUUUCAGCAGGAACGAAAAUGACGGUACCUGCAGAAGAAGGAGCGGCCAACUAUGUGCCAGCAGCCGCGGUGAUACAUAGGCUUCAAGCGUUGUCCGGAUUUAUUGGGCGUAAAGAGUUCGUAGGCGGUCAAGUAAGUCGGGUGUGAAAAUUCUGGGCUCAACCCAGAGACGCCACCCGAUACUGCUUAACUUGAGUUCGAUAGGGGAGUGGGGAAUUCCUAGUGUAGCGGUGAAAUGCGCAGAUAUUAGGAGGAACACCGGUGGCGAAGGCGCCACUCUGGAUCGAUACUGACGCUGAGGAACGAAAGCAUGGGUAGCAAACAGGAUUAGAUACCCUGGUAGUCCAUGCCGUAAACGGUGGGCACUAGGUGUGGGUUUCUAUUAACGAAAUCCGCGCCGUCGCUAACGCAUUAAGUGCCCCGCCUGGGGAGUACGGUCGCAAGACUAAAACUCAAAGAGUAGUGGCGUGUUGAGUGUUCCGACGAGCCACGACGGGAGGGAGG